AGAGUUUGAUCAUGGCUCAGAACAAACGCUGGCGGCGUGCAUAACACAUGCAAGUCUAACGGGAAAGUCGGCUUCGGCUGGCAAGUACCGUGGCGAACGGGUGAGUAACACGUGGGUAAUCAAACCUCGAGUUUGGGAUAACCUUGCGAAAGCGGGGCUAAUACCGAAUAAGACCACGCCUUGUUAGCAAGGUGCGGUAAAAGGUGGCCUCUUCUUGAAAGCUAUCACUUGAGGAUGAGCCCGCGGCCUAUUAGCUAGUUGGUGGGGUAAUGGCCUACCAAGGCGACGAUGGGUAGCCGGCCUGAGAGGGUGUACGGCCACACUGGCACUGAGAUACGGGCCAGACUCCUACGGGAGGCAGCAGUGGGGAAUAUUGGGCAAUGGGGGAAACCCUGACCCAGCGACGCCGCGUGGAGGAUGACGGCCCUCGGGUUGUAAACUCCUGUCAGGUGGGAAGAAGGACCAUUCGGCUAAUACCCGGAAGGAAUUGACGGUACCACCAAAGGAAGCCCCGGCUAACUCCGUGCCAGCAGCCGCGGUAAUACGGAGGGGGCAAGCGUUAUUCGGAUUUACUGGGCGUAAAGCGCACGUAGGCGGCACUGUAAGUCAAAGGUGAAAGCCCUCGGCUCAACCGAGGAACUGCCUUUGAAACUGCCUUGCUUGAGUCCGGGAGGGGGGAGCGGAAUUCCCAGUGUAGCGGUGAAAUGCGUAGAUACUGGGAGGAACACCGGUGGCGAAGGCGGCUCCCUGGACCGGUACUGACGCUGAGGUGCGAAAGCGUGGGUAGCAAACAGGAUUAGAUACCCUGGUAGUCCACGCCGUAAACGAUGGGCACUAGGUGCAGCGGGUGUCGACCCCUGCUGUGCCGUAGUUAACACAUUAAGUGCCCCGCCUGGGGAGUACGGUCGCAAGGCUGAAACUCAAAGGAAUUGACGG
rnacentral:rRNA from 1 species